rnacentral:rRNA from 1 species
AUUGAACGCUGGCGGCAGGACUAACACAUGCAAGUCGAACGAGUGGCGGACGGGUGAGUAAUGUCUGGGAAACUGCCCGAUGGAGGGGGAUAACUCCUGGAAACGGUAGAUAAUAACGCAUACCAUCGGAUGUGCCCAGGUGGGAUUAGCUAGUAGGUGGGGUAACAGCUAACCUAGGCGACGAUCCCUAGCUGGUCUGAGAGGAUGACCAGCCACACUGGAACUGUGACACGGUCCAGACUCCUACGGGAGGCAGCAGUGUGGAAUAUUGCACAAUGGGCGCAAGCCUGAUGCAGCCAUGCCGCGUGUGUGAAGAAGGUCUUCGGAUUGUAAAGCACUUUAAGUUGUGAGGCGUUACCAACAGAAUAAGCACCGGCUAACUUCGUGCCAGCAGCCGCGGUAAUUC